AACAGCACCGCCCAAGGAACAGUGGGUGUAGGUGACACUGCGGGUUCCCUGGGGGAAAUGCGGAGUUCCUGAUGGCUAGGGUCAACUGCGGGGCAGUCUGGGGCCAGCAGGGAGACUGGUAUGCGGGAACAUUCCUCUGCAGGCUCCCAUGGCGGCUCUGCGGCGCUGGAGGAGAUCCACAAAUAUUUGUCUGGUUACAUAGUUCAGGCAUGUGAAAAUCAGACCCAAGAAACACACGCUUUAUUCUCUUUCCAGAAACGCUGCCUGAACUCCGACCCCUGGCGCUCCCGGCGUCUCCCCAGAUUUUCCAUCUGUUCUCCAUUAUUCCACUUCACUGCUGUUGUAGGCUUUGCUGGAAACGGGAGUCCCGCCUUGAGCCAGCAGUCAGGGUGUCCUUCUGCCCACCUUCAGUAAUCCACAGUGCUCCUCCUGCCGCACAACCCUCCCCAUCCACACAGCCCUCGCCGGCCGCUGCCCGGGGCCACACGGCCUCUGUCACUCCCUGGGAAGACAGUGAUUCCCACUGCUCUGGAAUUCUUGAUUACGCAUGCAUGUGUGCGUGUCAGGACCAGCGCGGUGCCCUGGUGCUUGUCACACAGUUCCCGCCAGCUGUCUCCCGCGGCCUGUGUUUCCUCGAGGCUGGGGGCUCCAGAAGAAAGCUGACGAGCCUGGUCUGGCCCUGCUUGGUGUCACGCGUUUUGCAGGGCUUUCUAAGAAUCAUGAGCACAGGGGUCCCCAGGAUUGGUCUGCAUUUGCUCCAGUUACUCUUGCUGGUGACGAAGCACUUGACACGGAGACUUAGAACCACCGUCCUCUUUUGUUCCUGAUUCUGUUGGCGGGGGUGGGGGGCUGCCAUGUGGGCCUGGAGCCCUGGUCAUGUCUGCAGCAGAGCAUUCACGAUGCUGAUGGCUGACAGGAACGGCCCCGGGUCGCCUUCCCAGCCCAGCGGGCUCUGUGAGGUCGGGCUGCCCUGAGCCUAGGGCCGCUGUGCCCUGUGUCACAAGUGCCCAUGUCCCCUGCUGGGCUCAGGGGUGGGGCGCGGGUCCCACCUCUUGUUGGGACGAGUGUCACAGGACGUGGGAGGCGUGGUCGAGGAGCCACAGUACUGAGUAUGACAUAAACACAGUUGAAGUCAGCAUGGAGACUGUCGAAGGCGGUCCCGACAUCACCGAAUCUGGAUAGCGGGGUCUGCAGGCGGCCGAGGGGCUUCCUGCCGUGUUCCCAAGGCCUGCAUCCGCUAAAGCACAAUCGAGCUGAGGACCCGUGAGCUGACCAGCUCCCGAAAAGUCUUCCGUGGAUCCUCUCACACGUCCAAGAGUGGACGGAGCAGAAAGCAACUGCAUUAGAACAGACUGAGCAGGAACCAUUGACGGAAACCACACCCUGAAACAGUUAUGGAAAACGCCACAGUUUGUUAAAUACUUCCACGCGGUUUGCCUCAUCUGAUGACAUCUCACACAUGACUAAAUGUACCACCAAAAAGAGAAGCCAUGCAGUAAGACCGGCGUGGAGGUCUCUGGACAGAUUCACGUAAGAAAAGGAGGAAAAUUAAUCAGAGAAAGAAAGAAAAGAAGGAAAAAAAAAAAAAAGAAAGAGAAGGAAAGAAAGAAAGAAAGCUAGCUGACCAACUGCCAAACAAGAACAUGAAGAGACUGUCCCGGGCUUAGAAACCAGACAUCGUGCAGGGGACAGGGUAUCCAGAGGAUGGCGCUCAGUCUGUAAAGGGGCAGGUGGUAAGUACAUGGUUUGCAGACCACGCCUGCCACUGGAGAGUCCCAGAGUCCCCAAGCUAGAAGCGGGAGCGGGAUUUGCUUCUUCAUUUAAAGG
ensembl:lncRNA